rnacentral:rRNA from 1 species
GACAGGUGCUGCAUGGCUGUCGUCAGCUCGUGUUGUGAAAUGUUGGGUUAAGUCCCGCAACGAGCGCAACCCUUAUCCUUGUUUGCCAGCGAGUAAUGUCGGGAACUCCAGGGAGACUGCCGGUGAUAAACCGGAGGAAGGUGGGGACGACGUCAAGUCAUCAUGGCCCUUACGAGUAGGGCUACACACGUGCUACAAUGGCGCAUACAGAGGGC